rnacentral:rRNA from 1 species
UACGUAGGGGGCUAGCGUUGUCCGGAUUUAUUGGGCGUAAAGAGCGUGUAGGCGGCCAUGUAGGUCCGGUGUGAAAACUCGAGGCUUAACCUCGAGAUGUCAUCGGGAACCAUUUGGCUAGAGUCCGGAAGAGGAGAGUGGAAUUCCCAGUGUAGUGGUGAAAUACGUAGAGAUUGGGAAGAACACCAGUGGCGAAGGCGGCUAUCUGGACGGUUUCUGACGCUAAGACGCGAAAGCGUGGGGAGCAAACAGG